AGGGGAGAAGACCCGCGGCGACAUGUGUGUUUCGCGUUCCUUCCGAGGGGUCUUCGCCAUCUCCGAGAGGAGAAGGUCGGAAUCUCGGACCCGGCCCCUGUACGUGUCUCCCCCCUCCCCGGCGCCGCGUUGGUGCAGCGCGGUGCGGUCACCGCAUUCCAGGGGCGGGGGGCGGAGGGAGCGCGCUCCUGCCCUUGUAAGGCAACGGCGGGAGUUUCCUGCGCGUAGAGGGGCGGAGCCGUAUCUCAUCGCCCCUCCCCUUCCCCACCCCCGAGGGGUGGCCGUCGCCUCCGUUCCCGUCGGUUUCUGUCCCGUCCUGUCAUCUGCUGGCGCCGCUUCGGGAUCCAUCGUGGGCUGCGCGUCCCUCCCGCCUUCCAGCGCCGCGGAACUGCCGCUCGCCGGCCUCCUGCACCGCCUUCUCGAGGACCAUUGUGCAAUUAGGGCUGGCGCUGUCUGAGCUUCCGCUUUCUGACAGGAGCAAGUCUCGUUCCCAGCACUUGUGACUGUUCGUGGCAGCGCGGUGGCGGGAGGGAGCCAGUGACACGGAAUCACAGAGCCACAGAAUGGGACAGGUUGGAAGGGACCACAGUGGGUCAUCUGAUCUAACCUGGUCCAUCUUAGAGGACAUGCCACAGUAUUGCAUCCAGUCAGUUUUUGGAGCCUCUCGAGUGAGGGAGACUCCACAUCCUCCUUGGGCAAUGUGUUCCGGUGCACGGUCACCUACACAGUAAGGUUCUGCCUCAUAUUCAGGUGGAACUUCCUGUGCAUCAGUUUCUGCCUGUUACCUCUUGUCCUAUUACUUGGCACCACCUGAACCCACCCUCUCGACACCUACCUUCAGAUACUGACAUACAAUGUGCCCUCUCAGUUGUCCCUUCUCGAGGUUGAACAGGUCCAGUUCCCUCAGCCUUUCCUCGUAAGAGAUGAUGCUCCAAUCCCUUGAUCAUCUUUGUAGCUCUAAACAGCCCCAACACAUGUAAAAGUACAUGGUACGGCACUGUCCUGCAGGAUGAGGAGGUGCUGUGUUGCAACAGCUGAUGGAGCUGGUACAUCUGGAAGAUUCACAGGAUCAUGGAAUAUCCUGAGUUGUAAGGGAUCCACAGGGAUCAAGGAAGCAAAACUCCUGGCCCUACACAGGACAACCCCAAGAAUCACGCCAUGUGCCUGAGAGCAUUGUCUAAACGCUUCCUGAACUAUGGCAGGCUUGGUACUGUGACCUGGGGAGCCUGUUCCAGUGUCCAGCUACCCUCUGGAUGAAGAACCUUUUCCUAAUAUCUAAUAUUGUUUUUAACAAGUGAAUUACUUAACUGCCCUGGGUUCAGAGACAAUAAGUAAGAGGAGAGACUUAGAUUAGAUCUUAGGAAAAAAUUUUUUACUAUGAGGGUAGUGAGGCACUGGAACAUGUUGCCCAGAGAAGUUGUGAAUACCCCAUCCCUGGUAGUGUUUAAGGCCAGGUUGGAUGGGGCUUUGAGUCACCUGGUCUAGUGGAAGGUGCCCCUGCCCGUGGCAGAGGGGUUGGAACUAGGUGAUCUUGAAGCUCCCUUUCAAUCCAAACCAUUCUAUGACUCUGAUCUGGCCUGGCUUCCAAAGACAAAGGCCUUGUACCAAUUUGCUAUUAGCAUGUUACCCUAUCUUCAGAUAAUUUUUACCUGCCUUGCCAAUACCAGCAGGGUAAUCAGGCAUCCAGGGGUCAUGAGUAUAUUCAGUUUUCAUAAUAAUCAAAUUCUUUGGGUUGGAAGGUACAUUUAAAGAUCAUCCAGUCCAGCUUCUAAGAAGACCAAGAUUACUCGCUUUAGGAAUUAGGAAAAUUUAGGAAAAUUCCUGAAAGGAUUUUCCUUUUCUUAAAACAAAGAUGAGGACGGUGGGCAGAUGAAUAGGAAUAUGGGAUGAAUAGGAACAUCAUCCUAAAAACACUGACCACAGCUCAAAGAUAUAAAGAACAUUAUGUAAAAAUAGACAUCACUGCUGUCUAUGUAGCCUAAUUUAUCACUUUACAUCUAGUUCUAUUCAUAUAAUUUUUACAGAAUUUGCAACUGUACAUAAACUCAGUUUUUGAAAACAGUAAGAGAUUACCCAUAUUUCUGACUUUUUUGAGGGAAAUAAACUUAACUGAGUGACCAGAAGGUGUAAUCCCUGAUGGACUCCCCUGGCUGGGGCAAAGAACACAGCUCAGAGGGAACAUCUCCUCUACUCAACACCUACAGAGUCAAAAAAACCAAUUGCAGUUUUCACCGUCGCUGGUGCUGCCAGUGGUAUUUUUUACUUAUAGGGAAGUGUGGUGGUUUCUGUCACAUCUUCUGCCUUUCUUUGAGGCACUGGCAGGAUGCUGCAGGCUGCCCACUUGAGCUAGGUCUGUUGUGUCAUAACAGGCAGCACCUGAUGCCAAACGCAUGAGUUUCUGUUGCAGAGUGGCUACAACAUCAAAGCUGAGACAACCUUUGUAAGUGGUCAAUAAAACUAUGUGAUCCCAGGUCAGGGGUAGAAGUUGGAAUAUUUAUUGAACACGUGACACGCAAUAUAUGGGUCUUGGAGGCAGGACAUGUUAAUGAAGAGGACGGGUUAUACUAACUAAGGGAUGAAUUAUGCUAACUAGAGGAUUACACAAUUCUCUGCUACAGUUACACAAGUGGUUAAUAUUUUCCCGUAGCGAGGACCACAUGGGGGGAAGAGAACAAAGGGCCUUCUACAUCGUCUGACAUCAUCAUCACAAAGUCUCUCCAUAUCUUGCUGAAAGAGACAGGACAAUCAAACAUAGUUCAUAUUAACAGGUCUUGUGAUGAAGCUCCUCAAAGUAAGGAGUUUCUCCCAGCUCCUGCUCUCUACAGCCUGCUACAUAAUUUUAUUAGUUCCUUUUCUGCUGAUAGUUGAGUUUUAGAUUCCAACAAACCUUUCCUCUCAUGAUCUGGAAAUGAGUCAUUCCUCAUGCCUGUUCUGAAUCACUUUUUUCAGUCUUUGUUUCUUAUGUUUCUAGAGCCAAGUACUUCCAAGACUGGAGUCAGUGGCAAAAUUGAUGUGUACUUUAUCCAAGUUAGCCUUGAUAAGAGCAGAAUGGGAAUAUUUACCUAUAUUAAAUGUAUUUUUAUCCAACAAUUAAAUAAAUAGUACGAUGACAACGAUUUCCAAAUAUUUUCCUUCAAAAAUUGAUACAAUACUAGCUCAAUGUUCAUUUUUAUGAUCUAUACUAAAAUAAUUUUUUAGCUUAUCCCAAAUUGGAGUAAUGAAAAUAAGAAGCAAAGGCUAAGAUAUCAGUAAGGAAUGUGUAGGAAGACCUGUCAGAAUAAAUCUUCGUACAUGGGAUCUGUGUCUGAAGAGUCCUGGAUAUAAGUAGCUGCCAGGUUUAAUAUUUAACAUAAUGAGUAAUACUUAAUAUAGUGACUAAUCACAGAGGACUUUGGCCUAUACUCUAAAUUACCAUAGUUGACCUUUUGCAUUUUUUUUUUCCUGAAUAAUUCCUUAUUGGGAAAAGGUAAACAACCUUUUAUUUUGAGAAGUAGGGAGAAACCGAGAGACUCAGUAGAUUUCAGGCAUCUUUAAGAAAUGCAGCAGUAAUAUUGAUUCACGAAGAGCAAUCCUGUUUCCAGAAAAAGAUAAUUAACCAGUUAUAAAAAAACCACGAGUUGUUUGUAACAUUUUUCUUCACUAGCUCUCAUUGAACUUCCUUCUGCAGUAUGAAAGUGCCAUGAGUUCACUUCACCUGAAGCGCAGGUGAGCUAGACAACCAUAAAUGCUAAAGAUGCGGUUUGGGAAUGGAGAAGGAUUUUCAGAAAGGUUAAGUAGUUUUGGAGUCUACCAUCGAUGGGAUCUGGAAGCUUGCACACUUCUAAAACCCCUAUGAGCUUCCAAUAUUUGGACACGUGUGUAACUUUAGAAUCUACCUUGGAGUGACUUACCUGCAACUUCCUCAGAGGCCAGAGGUGCCUAAAGGAGGAAGUUUUCCAAGGCCGCUUUUAAACUCAGUCUUGACUGUACCUAGACUUAGGCUAGUCCUUCUGGGUUGGUGACUCCUUUGUAUGCAUGGAUAGUCUCAUGGCAGUAAAUACAGUAUUAAUGGAGCAACCAGGCUCCUCUUUUGCCUCGCAGGCAGUCUGCCUGGCAACUCCUCUGUGGUGGCUUGUUUGGGGAAGGGUCUACCUUUCUGGGCUCACCUGGUCUCUGGUAUUAUUGUGUUUUGCAUCUUCCAUGUCUUUUCAUGCUCCAUCAUUAUAAGGCUUUCCACUGCUGCUUUCCAAACACUGUUUGGGAGCUUCUUCUCACACUCAAUACCUUACUGUGAAUGUAGAUCAGUAUUUCCCACAUACAUAGAAUAAAAGUUCCCUCCAUGGAAAUGAUAAUAUUGCAAUGCAGGCUGGUAAUGGCAGCCUAAAGUGAAUUAUAUCUAUCUACCAAGAAGAAUAUGCACCCACCAAAAUCCUGGCCAUAUGGAAGUAAAGGGCCACACCUCUUCAUCAGUGUGUCUUCUGUGAGGAUGCCUUUUACUGGGAGAAGGAUACCUCGAUGAACUUCAUACUUUAAUGAAGUUCAUGUGUCAUACAAAUCCCCAAACAACUCAAUGGGACCUGGGGCAUUAAAAGAAACAAAAGCAGAGCACUAUCCUCGAAUAAUUUAUUUGCCUACUCUAACCAUAAGUCAAAUUUAGCAAUUUGUCUAAUGCUUUUCAAAUUAUUUUUUUCUGGACCAAAAUGAUUACCGAAGUAGUUAAAUAAUAACAAUAACAAAGUAUAGCAAUACCAACAACAAUAUGUAAUAAUGAUAACAAAGUAUAACAAAACAACAACAAUAAUAUAAUACUAAAACAACAAUAAUAAUAAUAACUUAAUACAUUUGCAAAAAGGUUGGACAUAUUUUAUGGAAUUCAAUUAUGUAAACAAUAGUUUAUUAAAUAAAAUAAACCAAGGAAGCCAGACUAUAGUUACAUUCUGGGAAUCACCACUACUGAGUCAGGAAAGAAGGAAUAUGCUUUGACUAGUUACCAGCUCCAGCAAGCAACACGACUUCCACACUACAGUGAAUAAUAUGAGUUUACUUAAACAGUGCAACUCCAGCUGAUUCUAGCAUGUAGAAGGUGGGUGCCACACCAUGGGCCUGAUGGUGCAGUUCAUAGGGCAUUCCUAGGGUGGGAAUAUGUCCCUGCACCUCAAUGACCUGUGAAGAUGUGCUUGUAGAGAAGCCAGAGGUUCUGUUGCUUGCUCACAGUGUGCAAGCCAAGCUGCUUUAGCCUUAUUGUCCCUUUGCUUCCUCCACAGCUUGGAUGUCCCACUCUCAGUUGAAGUAAAGAAACAUUUUGAAAAUACAAAUUGUCAUCAAUACCCUUGAGAACAAGGCAAACAACAGUGUUGUCUAAGACAAGCACUCUUUCUCCUGCACCAAGAAGCCAUAAGUGAUAGCAGGUGAAAAAGAGAGAAACAACCAAACUGUCUGAUGUGUUAAAAGAGAGCACUUUGAUGGGCUGUCCAUACUGAACAACUGUGUCUGUGUACCUAGUUAGCCCUCUGGUAUUGCCGAAGAGCAGAUAACCAUAAAACGUUUAAAAAUACAGUUAUCUUAUGGUAUGCUGGAUGAUAUCAGGUAAUAUAUUUAUCUUUUUUGCUCUUUCCAGAGACUUCUAUCUGCAAUUUAUCACAUAGGCUAUGUCACUUUUUCUAGUUGUGGUCAGUACCACAGGAAUGUUUUUAUUUUGAGCAAUGACUUUUUUCUUUUUAAUCAUACAAAUGAAGGUCUUUCAUUUUGUACUGUUACAUUGUAUCUGAAGUAGAUUUGUCCUUCUAUUUUGUGACAAACCCUGGUUCCAAUGUUGAAUGCAACAAGUCAAGCCAUGCACUGGGCUUUGCAAGUACUGGAAGUAAAAGGAAUAGCAGCCCAUAAAGUCAUAGCAUCAUUUAGGUUGGAAAAGACCUCUAAGAUUGAGUCUAGCCAUUAAUCCAGCACUGCCAAGUCCACAACUAAACCACAUCCCUAACCACUCUUUGCCCUUUCUGUUCUGUGAGUGGGUUGUGCAAUAAUUAGGGGUGCACGAACUCAGCGCAGAUGCUCUGUGAGCAGGUCAGGUUGGGGAGCAGCCUGUCUGCUGUGUGGACUCCCAGGCCUCUCUGGCUGGCAGGGUAUUUCUUUCCCUGAUUGCUGUGGAUGCUGACUGUACUAUCUUUAAGAUGAAACAGCUGGGAUUGUGCCUUGCUCCAGGACGAAGAUGCCUACUGCUUCCUUUCUGUGCGGUACUCGCAAACCCUGGGGCAGGGAGGCUGCAUACUCGGGGCCGCACGGCGGGCUGAGGGUCCAUCCCCCCGGCAGCUCUCUCCUCACCCUGGCGCCAGAAACCCUCACCGGAGCCUCGCAGCUCGCAGCCUCGCAGGUUGAUUUUACUCCCCUAGAUUUCGGAAUUCCCAGUUUGACCUGGACGCGCUUGUGUCGCUUCAAGGCACUCGGGGCCGGUAGCCGGUCCCGUACCGGCUGUCGCCAGCAAGGGGAGCUCCGUAUUUGGAUAGGAUCCGAAAGACAGGCCAGGGACGGUACUGCCAUGGCCAGGAGAGGGAGAAUGCUGUAAAAUGACAUUAAAUCGAUGUGGGGGUUAAUCCUGCUGUGGGCUGGAGAAGGAAGGGGAAAGACCAAACAAGCGCCGUGGGCUCCAGGGUGAUAUUUGUGGCACUCCUGAACUCUGCAAAUCAUAUAAGAGAAUUAUUGAGUUAUAGAAUGAUUUGGGUUGGAAGGUACCUUUAAAGUUAGUCAUCUAGUUCCAACCUUCCUGCCACAGGAAGGGGCACCUCCCACUAGACCAGGUUGCUCCAAGCCUUGUCUAGCCUGGCCUUAAACACUUCCAGGGAUGGAGCAUCCACAAUUUCUCUGGGCAAACUGCUCCAGUGCCUCACCACCCUCACAAGAAAGAAUUUCUUCCUAAUAUCUAGCGUCUUCCUACUAUCUACCCGCUUUCAGUUUGAAGCUAUUCCCCCUUGUCCUGUCACUACAUACCCUGGUAAAAAUUUCCUCUCCAGCUCUCCCCUUUAGGUACUGCUAUAGAUCUCCUCAGUGCCUUGUCUUCUCUAGGCUGAACGCCCCCAACUCUCUCAGCCUGUCUUCACUGGAGGAGUGCUCCUGCCCUCUGAUUAUUUUCUCAAGUCCUCUGAACCUGUUCCAACAUGUCCAUGUCUCUCCUGUGCUGAGGACCCUACAGCAGAGCCUGGAGCAAGCAUGUGCCUGCCUGUAGUGAGGGAAAUUGCUGGACAUUUUACAAAGUGAAUGUCUACCUUGCUAUAGUAGCCCCUCUUUGCUCUUCUUCACUGCUGUUAAUCUCUCUUCGCCAAUCACCAGAAACUUAAGAGAAGUGUCUUCAAGCACUGAUUGCUCCAGAAGCUUUCCUGUGAGUUGUGUGUAUCACAGCUGUUAAAGCUUUAUGAAACUUGACAUCAAAGUUUCCCCUAUGAUGAAACCCUGAGCAGUCUCUCUGGUUUUGGUACAGACUGGGAGUCAGUGUGAUCAUUUUACAUAAAGCUCAAAUAUUUUUUUCUGGGAUGGAAAACAUUUUGGUUUACGGUAUUGCAGUCACAGUUAAAGAUGUAAUAACAGGUACAGCAUCAUAGCAAUCAACAAUACCCAUAGUAAAUAUGUUUUCAGUUUGUAUAAAAAAAUUAGUCUCCUUGUUUUCAGCACAGGUACCUGUGUGAGUGUGACGAGCCAGAGCUGACCUACCACUCGACUGAGGUUUGAAAACCUUCCUCUGAGUCUGGGUUGAAUUUAGAACAGGAAGCCAAUGAACAAGGCCAGAUGCUGCUCACUUGAGCUUUUCCAGUGGGCAGACUUCUUCUCCUCUUCAUUAGCAACCCAGCAGAAAGAAAAAAAAAUAAUUGCUCCACCAGGAAUUUCUGGAAGUGAUCAGCAGCUGCUGUUGACCCUCUAGCAGUCAUUACGCAGCUGCACUUGGUCGUGAGUCCCUGCUGGCAUUAGCAGAGGGAAGGGACAUAUUGCCUCUCUAUUUAGUCUGCCAGCUAGUGUAACAGUCCCUAGAGAGCUGGAACGAAAGAGUGAGAAUUUACACAGAUGCAGGUGAGUAAGCAGAAAAUCAGCCCUGCUUCAGGAAGCUACUAACAACUUUUUCAGGAUUGUUCUCAGACGUGCUUACAGCUGUGGGCUGAGGAUUCAGCUGUCUGCCCAUCAGGGCUGUCGGAGCAACACACACCCUUUCACUCUGAAACUCAAAAUGCAGGACUUUUUCAUGGAUGGGAAAUGUAAAGUACUGUGGCACACUCAAUAAGAAAGCAUUUUUUUAAAUGCAGGCAAAAUGAGAGAAAUCUGAUAUCAGCUGUAAAAAUGUCCACUGUGUAUUUUAUUCUAAUGACACUUUCAGACCUCCAGAAGUAAUGACAAAUACAUGUAUUAAAAAUGUCAAGGUGUCUCUGACUGGCUUGUUGAAAACUGUUUCUUUGUCAUAUAUAGAUAAAUACGAUAAAAUGCUGGCAAAAAUCCUUUAGGUUGAUAUGUUUCUGGUUCCAAAAUAUCACCAUUUUCCCCCAGUAUUGAUUUAUCACAAAUGUUUUUCACAAAAUCCCGUUGGAAUCUGAAACUUUCAAGAAGUUCAGCCUCUGCAAGCUAAGUAACCUAAAAUUUCAAUUCAUAAAAUGACAGAAUGUGAAAAUAUGCUUGAACUAUUCAAUUUGAUCUCUCCCAUGUAGAUAAUUUUAAUUUUCGUUGGGCUUUGGCCAGAGGAAAAGUAAUGUUUGAAUAAAUCUCUUUUUUUGCAAAAGAAAUGUGGAUUAACUUCAAUGAACUGCCAGGAGAUUAUAAAUGGUCAUCAGAUGUGCUCAAGUUUGGACCAUCUCGUAGAAAAUAAGACCCAUCUAGCUGACAAAUGCUUCCCCUCUGUUUUUGCAUGUCACUAUAAAUAGUAAACAAAGAUAAGUCUCAUAUUUUCCGCUGUGCACAUUUAGUCCUUGGAUUGGUAUCAGCUUUAUAAAACAGUGAAUCACAUGAGCUACAGGCUCCAUAUGCUUUUAACUUUAUCGAAUAACUUUGAGUAUUGUGGAUCCAUAUCGCUGUUCUAAUUAUUCCUACAAAGAUUAUGCUGUUAUCUAUAGGAAUGUUUCUAAUUAGUCCAAAGAAUAUGUGUCUAUAGAGAUGAUAAUUUUGGAGGCUGUCUCCCUUGCACUAUAUUUCUCUUGGUAAAGAUUAGGAAUCAUUUCCAUUGGGGUUAGCAGUGUAAUAGGCCAUGCAGAGUAGCACCUCUUGUGAUAAAGAGAUCGUAUUGCCACUAUGAUAGUAGGCAUUUUAGGAUAAUGUACUGUGUACGCCUACCCAUAAAAAGUACAGCCCUCUGUGUGUAGUUCUCUAAAUAACUCAUCUAGCCCAGUUCAACACACGGGGAAUGAAUGCUGGAGGAACCAUGCUUAUAAGCAGUCCAGAAGCAGAAAAUACCUGAGCAAAAGAGACUUUUCUGCUCUGUCGUUGGUUUGCUAACCGCAACAGUGACAUCAGGUAGUAAGGACAUAUGCUGACAAUGAUUUUUAUAAUACAUUUAUUAGAAUAAUUCAGAGACUUGUGGAAAGAUAAAACCUUAGAUGCUGGUAUCACUGCAUCUUCUUAAACUGGAGCAGCUACUAUUAAUCACGGAAUUAUUUGUAUUUGAGGACUCUAGAACCAAAGAUAUUCUGUGACAAAAGAGCAGAAUUAUUAGUACCAGAUCUCAGAUUUCAAAUGGCUACCAUACUGCCCAUGUAGCACUAGAUGAGCAGGAGAAACCCCAGCAAAAUAGGAUCACCAGACUUUCAGUUAUUCCAGAGAAUUAGGUUGCAACAUCUUCCUUGAUCAGCAAAGUCAAUACUGGCAUUAUGUAGGCAUGGUACCUGCUCUACUGAGCAAACUCUGAGAGAAACCAUUUUCAGAAUAAGACAUAAGGAUGCAGCAGCAAAUUGAUUGUGAGUCAAAAGCUUUAAAUGCUAAAUAAUUUGCAAGUGUGCUUUGGAAACAGAUCUCCAUUCAGUUGUGCUACACGGGAAGGAGAGGCCAAUUACAAAAGAAAAUACAGAGGCAAUUAUGCCUCAGGAUUUUAAUGUUUGGAAAUUUGACUUAGAUGACUAGAGUCUGAAACACAUUUCCAGUACUAUAUUCUCUGUUCAGUCUUGCACAUAUUUAUUUAGUUCUUAUAUUGAAUCUUCGUGUUACUCCACCUCCACGGGCAGACUGAAAAGAUGGAGAUCACAGUGUAAAAAAAGCAGGGAAAGUAUAACCCCACUGUGCUCAGACUAGUGCCAAUGCCGUUCCCUGAAACUGUUCAGAUUUGUCAGCCCUCCAUCUGCCUGUCCAAGUUGGGACAAUGACGAAUGAGUCUUUAAUUUCCCAUGAGCUCUAAGUCCACUGUUAUUAAAAGAUGGCUAUUAAUUGAGUGUAUGUGCAGUUCACCUAGUGAGUGCUGUUCACAAACUCCCUGAGUGCUACAUCUUGAAUAGUAAUGCCCAAAUGUAUAGUCUUUCUUCCUCAAAGUGUUUUGGGAUUCUCAAGAUGUGUUUUUCCCAGAUAAUCACUUUUCUUAAGCAAAAUUAUUUCAAUUCCAAAUUCAGUUUGACAUUACAAGCUUCUUUUAAGAACUUGUGCUGGGAAGGGACUGAAACCAAACAGCUUUGUGAAUUGCACAGCUGGUUUCUGUUUGCUCAUUACUUUAAAAUAAUUUUCAGUGAAAUGAUAUUAUGCUUCUAUCUGACACUUGAAAAGAAAAACUAAAAGAACAUUGCCAUGUUUGCUAGAUAUUGUGAAUAUCAAUAUUGCUUUCAGCAGUUUUCACUGAUCUAUGCAAAUAAUCAUGUGGUUGUUUAGCUAGUCUGAGUUUACAUUCAGAAUACUGAUCUAUUAGUUAUACACAUAAUUUGGAGAUGCAGUGCUCUGAAAAUUAAUGUAAUUCAGCAGUUUCAGAGAGCUGAUUCAAAUUUUAAAAUGCCUAUUGUUGCCACAGCUCCACAUUCUCACAGCCUUCAAUAUCUGUACAGCUCAGUGCUUUCAGUGUUAAAUAAGGCAAAUACAGGUUGCUUGUCUCUAACAUUGACAGCUGUUAUGAAUGGCUUUCCCUUGCCAUUGUCCAGCAUGAAGAAGUUAAUCUUCCUUCAUAUGGGUCAUUAAACUACUCCACUUCAGCUUCUGUGGAUUUGCAUACAGCUCUUUCAUAACCUAUGGGAAACAUGAUUUCCUUCUUCCCGGGUCCACAUCCUUUAUUUGAACAUGUAGCUGAAAACUUAGUCAUGUUCCUGGACAUUAUAUGCUUGCUGAUGUUAAAUGUUGUGAGCCUUCAGCAAUGCAGCACCAAUCCUUUCUUCAGCUAUGUCCAGAGAUCAUUCAGAUGUCAAGGUUUGACUUUUUAGGAAACAUCUUCCCUUUAGUGUCAGCACCCAACUGACUGCAGGGUAAUCUGUUCUCGUCAGAAGUUUUGUCCAGCUGCAUCUCUCCAAAUGCUCCCAGUCCAACGAUUUAAGCUCUGCCCCUGAUUUUCUGGUAUAAGGCAAAGUUUGGAAAGCAAAAGAUAGGGACAUGGCAUGGGAGAUGGAAAAUUGGGCAAGUAGGUUGCAAUGUAAAAGUACCCUUUAAAUCAGCUGUCAAAAAUCAGCCCUUGAAUUGAAGGAAAGCUUUGCAAUCACAGGUAGACACUGGAAAGUUGUGCAACAAAGCAAAAUUGCUUUGCUUUUUGACAUUGAUAAACUACCAGCUCUGGGGCUGAUUUUGAUGCUAACAGUUCUGAACCAGUAAUGAGAAUAGUGAAAUACAGCACUGUUUAAACUGCAGAGACUUUUAAAACAAAUCUGUCAUCAGACAUCCAAAUGGUCUGUUGUUACUGUUGCACAACUUCCAGAGUACUGACAACCUGCAUUGGGAUAUCUGGAUGAAUUCCAGCACCAGACCAUAGAGCCAGAAACAUGUUACAGUUUCUUAAAAAUGCAAACAAAGAGUCAAACUAUGAUUCUGGAGGAGAACCCCCAAAUUUGUGAGGAUCUAUGGAUGAUGCUCCUGUCUCUCAGCUGUUAAAGUAGUCAAGGGCUAGCACAGUUUGCUCAGGGCAGUUGUGCAGUCUCAUCUCUGAAGUUUUCAAGACCCAACUCAACGAAGCUGUGGACAAUCUCACAGCUGGCCCUGCUUCGGGCUGGAGGUUCAACAAGGGACCACCUAGGCCCUUUCCAACCUGAAUUAUUUUGUGAUUUUUGUGAUUCUCAUUGUAGUUCCAAAUUACCUUUUAAAUGCACUGUACUGUCUGUUGAUAGUAAUUACUAGAAACUGUUAGCUGAACUAGCAGUAUGAAAAUAGAGAUAUAUAGCAGUGUGCAAAUUUCUGCAAACAUAAGGCUUAUUAGGCAGAAAUAAUAGCAAAUAGAGAGGUGACAGUAAAAUUAUGGGAUGCUUGUCCUCUGCCUGUCACCAGCAAUCCUAUCUCAUGAAAAUAUAUGGCCAAUUUCUAAAGUCUUACACAUAGGCCUAAUUUUUUUCCAACAGGCAUUUUCUCUGAUUAAGCUCAGUAAUUACUUUCUUGGCAACUGAAAAUUGUUCCAAGUGCAUAACUGCAAUCCAACAAAAUUAAUAACCACUCUUUUAUUUUACUUCAGACAUGCUAACCAGAGUAGUUUAGAAGGCUGGUCCUAUGCUGCUGCACACAAUUCAGGCUCAUUAGAGAGAAGUGUGACUAUAAAUCACAACUGAAGUACAGCUAGAUUUAGAAAUUCUGCUGGUGUUUCAUUGUUUUAAGCAGUAAUUCUCUAUGGUGUAAGGAAAAUUUAGAAAUCAUUUUUUUGUGCAGUCAAGCAAUGCUAACAUCCUGUGAAGACCAAAAAGUUCAUGGGAAAAAGAGGAAAAAGAGAAAAAAGGGAAGGAAGAACACAGAAUAAUAAGACAAAAAGUUCUAUAAAAGAGAAGAAAUAUGAACCAAAGUCUUCUGAUUCUUAUGCCAUAGAUACCAUGUAGAUGUGAUGGUUACAGCUUGGGAAAAUUUCCCAGAUUCCUGUGGUUUGGUAAAGAGAGUAGUACCUAAUUACCAAACAGACUAGCAAAAUGAGGGCGUUAUGCCACAGACAUUGGGUGAAUUUUUUCCUUGGAAACCAGAAAAGAACAAGAAGUUAAUCACAUUCUCAUGGUUCAUUUUUUUAAUCUGGAGAAUGAUUUUGUCUCAGGCUGCAAGCAAUGCUUGACAAUUACUCAUCUAUGAGAGCAUCCAGAAGAGUUUGUCCAGUUCAUAUUCACUAAGUACUUCAGAAAAUCCAGUGGCUGCAAGAAGAGGAUCCACAGGCAUGGAGGAAAGCAGUUUUUCCUUCUGCAAACCAUUAUAUUGCAGAUGGGGUUUUGUUAAGAUUCCACAUGAAAUUCUUUGUCUGCUAGACUGAUCUUUGAUGACUUUGAAGACAGGACUAUUUAUUUAAAAUAAAUUUAAUUUUUAUUUGCAA